rnacentral:rRNA from 1 species
CCUACGGGAGGCAGCAGUGGGGAAUCUUGCGCAAUGGGCGAAAGCCUGACGCAGCAACGCCGCGUGCGGGAAGAAGGCUUUCGGGCUGUAAACCGCUUUCAGCAGGAACGAAAAUGACGGUACCUGCAGAAGAAGGAGCGGCCAACUAUGUGCCAGCAGCCGCGGUGAUACAUAGGCUUCAAGCGUUGUCCGGAUUUAUUGGGCGUAAAGAGUUCGUAGGCGGUCGAGUAAGUCGGGUGUGAAAAUUCUGGGCUCAACCCAGAGACGCCACCCGAUACUGCUUAACUUGAGUUCGAUAGGGGAGUGGGGAAUUCCUAGUGUAGCGGUGAAAUGCGCAGAUAUUAGGAGGAACACCGGUGGCGAAGGCGCCACUCUGGAUCGAUACUGACGCUGAGGAACGAAAGCAUGGGUAGCAAACAGGAUUAGAUACCCUGGUAGUCCAUGCCGUAAACGGUGGGCACUAGGUGUGGGAUUCUAUUAACGAAUUCCGNGCCGUCGCUAACGCAUUAAGUGCCCCGCCUGGGGAGUACGGUCGCAAGCUAAAACUCAAAGGAAUUGACGGNUGAGAGNGCGAGACGACACGAGGAGAG